UGCCGUAGGUGAACCUGCGGAAGGAUCAUUG
rnacentral:rRNA from 1 species